rnacentral:rRNA from 1 species
GAUGAACGCUGGCGGCGUGCCUAAUACAUGCAAGUCGAGCGAACAGACGAGGAGCUUGCUCCUCUGACGUUAGCGGCGGACGGGUGAGUAAAACGUGGAUAACCUACCUAUAAGACUGGGAUAACUUCGGGAAACCGGAGCUAAUACCGGAUAAUAUAUUGAACCGCAUGGUUCAAUAGUGAAAGACGGUUUUGCUGUCACUUAUAGAUGGAUCCGCGCCGCAUUAGCUAGUUGGUAAGGUAACGGCUUACCAAGGCAACGAUGCGUAGCCGACCUGAGAGGGUGAUCGGCCACACUGGAACUGAGACACGGUCCAGACUCCUACGGGAGGCAGCAGUAGGGAAUCUUCCGCAAUGGGCGAAAGCCUGACGGAGCAACGCCGCGUGAGUGAUGAAGGUCUUCGGAUCGUAAAACUCUGUCAUUAGGGAAGAACAAAUGUGUAAGUAACUAUGCACGUCUUGACGGUACCUAAUCAGAAAGCCACGGCUAACUACGUG